UUGACUCCAGCCUGGUUUGCAGAUGAUACUGGCUGAUGGCUCUUUGGUGACCUAUCUGAAUUAACCUGAAGGUUCCCAGUAGAGAGGCAUGGUGGGAAACUGAAAGGCCUAAAUCCUGUGGCGGAGUGCUGAGGAGAGCGCUGUAUGGACUGGAAAGCAAUAAAAUACAACCUGUGCUGUGACUGGGAAGUAAACGGAAGAUAAACAAACACAGAAGAAACUGAUUUAUUAACACUUGGUCCAGCCCUCCUUUAGUCCCCC